UUAACUGAAACACGCCGUUGAUGGGUUAAUGAAUAGUGCUUCACGUAUUGAUGAAGAGGACGAAGGAGUCUCGCAUCCCUAGCUUGGGGGAGCUUUGCAGGGUCUGAGGCCACUAAGCCGAUGUUUGGCAAAUAAUGAUUCACCCCUCCAUGCUUGGUACUUCCCAGUUCAUUUAGGAAGUACUCCCAACCCACUUUAGAAAUCAUCGACAAGCGGGCUGGUCGAACGGUGCUCGUAAACGUAUUAACGGUCAUAGGCGAUUUUCGAUUUUUGUCGAUCGCCUAAUGUUCACUAUGUAUUGCCUGUAACAAGCGAUAAGCGCACCAGACGACAGUCGUUCUCGUGGCGCGUGCAGCGGCAGACGACAGUUGGAGCGCGCAGUUCUGCUCAUAUAUGGACUAUAGGUACCUAUUGAUGGAAGCCUGCUCGCCGGAAAAGAUUAUCCCAGUCUUUCGGGAUGUGAUGGCGCCAUAAGAAGCAAACAUGAGGAGUGUUACUAUUGUGCUGGUGGAGCUGUUGCUUCUUUCCAUGGUGUACGGUGCGACAGAGACCACCAGUAGUAACGCAAUCGAGGUAACAUGCACUGUUUCAAACGAGAAGUGUUCCGUUGACAGUGAGUGCUGCAGUAAAAGAUGCGUCCAGUUACAUUCGGGAGCGGAUUACCGUUGUCUCAAGAGUUCCGUAGACAAAACCUGUAAACAUGACUACAACUGCAUUGGCAGACUCGAAUGUAGCACCAGGAAACAAUGCUGUGUCACGUUGUGGCAGUCAUGUGUGACGGCCACGCAAUG
rnacentral:misc_RNA from 1 species